CUGUUCUGUUGCACACCGGGAGAUACAUAUAUGACUGAUGGUGUGACGGCCCGAGGUACUUGAUACCCAGUGUCAAUUUACCCGUUUAUCCAGUCCAGUCGUCCAGUAUAGGUUACUUGGGCAACUAAAAAUGGAAGUGGAUAAAUUUAAUGAAAUUAUGAAUAUAACAAAUACAAAAUAAAUAAUAUUACCAAUAAUGAUCGAAAAAUUAUCUGCAUAAGACAUCGGGACAUG
rnacentral:misc_RNA from 1 species